rnacentral:rRNA from 1 species
AGUGAACGCUGGCGGUAGGCCUAACACAUGCAAGUCGAACGGCAGCACAGAGGAGCUUGCUCCUUGGGUGGCGAGUGGCGGACGGGUGAGGAAUACAUCGGAAUCUACUCUGUCGUGGGGGAUAAAGUAGGGAAACUUACGCUAAUACCGCAUACGACCUACGGGUGAAAGCAGGGGACCUUCGGGCCUUGCGCGAUUGAAUGAGCCGAUGUCGGAUUAGCUAGUUGGCGGGGUAAAGGCCCACCAAGGCGACGAUCCGUAGCUGGUCUGAGAGGAUGAUCGGCCACACUGGAACUGAGACACGGUCCAGACUCCUACGGGAGGCAGCAGUGGGGAAUAUUGGACAAUGGGCGCAAGCCUGAUCCAGCCAUACCGCGUGGGUGAAGAAGGCCUUCGGGUUGUAAAGCCCUUUUGUUGGGAAAGAAAUCCAGCUGGCUAAUACCCGGUUGGGAUGACGGUACCCAAAGAAUAAGCACCGGCUAACUUCGUGCCAGCAGCCGCGGUAA